rnacentral:tRNA from 1 species
GCCUCUGUAGCUCAGUUUGUUAGAGCGCUGCACCGCCGGAAUCGCAGGGCCGUAGGUUCAAUUCCUACCAGAGGACA